rnacentral:rRNA from 1 species
GACGAACGCUGGCGGCGUGCUUAACACAUGCAAGUCUAACGAAGUGGCGAACGGGUGAGUAACGCGUAAUCAACCUGCCCUUCAGAGGGGGAUAACAGUUGGAAACGACUGCUAAUACCGCAUACUGAGGGAGGGGAGUGCGUCUGAUUAGCUAGUGGGAGGGGUAACGGCCCACCAAGGCGAUGUUCAGUAGCCUGUCGGAGAGGAGGAACGGCCACAUUGGGACUGAGACACGGCCCCGACUCCUACGGGAGGCAGCAGUGGGGAAUCUUCCGCAAUGGACGAAAGUCUUACGGAGCAACGCCGCGUGAGUGAAUACGGGCUUCGGGUUGUAAAGCUUUUGUAGUCGGGACGCGGUAUCGGAAUAGAAAGCCACGGCUAACUACGUGCCAGCAGCCGCGGUAAUAC